UACGGGGGGGGCAAGCGUUGUUCGGAAUUACUGGGCGUAAAGGGCUCGUAGGCGGCUAACUAAGUCAGACGUGAAAUCCCUCGGCUUAACCGGGGAACUGCGUCUGAUACUGGAUGGCUUGAGGUUGGGAGAGGGAUGCGGAAUUCCAGGUGUAGCGGUGAAAUGCGUAGAUAUCUGGAGGAACACCGGUGGCGAAGGCGGCAUCCUGGACCGACACUGACGCUGAGGAGCGAAAGCCAGGGGAGCAAACGGG
rnacentral:rRNA from 1 species